ensembl:lncRNA
CUCAACAUGCUUAUAGUACUGACAACACAACCAGUCUCAACAUGCUUAUAGUACUGACAACACAACCAGUCUCAACCAGUCUCUACCAGUCUCAACAUGCUUAUAGUACUGACAACACAACCAGUCUCUACCAGUCUCAACAUGCUUAUAGUACUGACAACACAACCAGUCUCAACCAGUCUCAACAUGCUUAUAGUGCUGACAACACAACCAGUCUCAACCAGUCUCAACAUGCUUAUAGUACUGACAACACAACCAGUCUCAACCAGUCUCAACCAGUCUCAACAUGCUCACAGUACUGACAACACAACCAGUCUCAACCAGUCUCAACAUGCUUAUAGUGCUGACAACACAACCAGUCUCAACCAGUCUCAACAUGCUCACAGUACUGACAACACAACCAGUCUCAACCAGUCUCAACCAGUCUCAACAUGCUCACAGUACUGACAACACAACCAGUCUCAACCAUACUGACAACACAACCAGUCUCAACAUACUCACAGUACUGACAACACAACCAGUCUCAACCAGUCUCAACAUACUCACAGUACUGACAACACAACCAGUCUCAACCAGUCUCAACAUACUCACAGUACUGACAACACAACCAGUCUCAACAUACUCACAGUACUGACAACACAACCAGUCUCAACAUACUCACAGUACUGACAACACAACCAGUCUCAACCAGUCUCAACAUACUCACAGUACUGACAACACAAUCAGUCUCACAGUACUGACAACACAAUCAGUCUCACAGUACUGACAACACAACCAGUCUCAACAUGCUUAUAGUGCUGACAACACAACCAGUCUCAACCAGUCUCAACAUGCUCACAGUGCUGACAACACAACCAGUCUCAACCAGUCUCAACAUGCUCACAGUACUGACAACACAACCAGUCUCAACCAGUCUCAACAUGCUUAUAGUACUGACAACACAACCAGUCUCAACCAGUCUCAACAUGCUCACAGUACUGACAACACAACCAGUCUCAACCAGUCUCAACAUGCUUAUAGUACUGACAACACAACCAGUCUCAACCAGUCUCAACAUGCUUAUAGUACUGACAACACAACCAGUCUCAACAUGCUCACAGUACUGACAACACAACCAGUCUCAACCAGUCUCAACAUACUCACAGUACUGACAACACAACCAGUCUCAACCAUCUCACAGUACUGACAACACAACCAGUCUCAACAGUACUGACAACACAAUCAGUCUCACAGUACUGACAACACAACCAGUCUCAACCACUCUCAACAGUACUGACGAUAACAACCAGUCUCUACCAGUCUUACAAUACAUGUAUUGGACACAUGGAAACUGUAUAUAGACAAACGCGCACACACACACAAACAAACCUGUCUUACACACAGCUCUAACACACACCUGUCUUACACGCUCACAACACACACCUGUGUUACAAGCUCACACACACACCUGUGUUACACGCUCACACACACACACCUGUCUUACACGCUCACACACCUGUCUUACACGCUCACACACACACACCUGUGUUACAAGCUCACACACACACACCUGUGUUACAAGCUCACACACACACACCUGUGUUACAAGCUCACACACACACACCUGUGUUACAAGCUCACACACACACACCAGUGUUACAAGCUCACACACACACA